UCAAGCAAUCCUCCUGCCUCAACCUCCCACAGUACUGGGAUGGUUGGGCCUUGGGCUGAGAAGGAGACAGGGAAGGGGCUGUAGGAGCUGUGUGAUCCUAGGUGAGCUGUCUGACCUCUCAGAUUUGUUCUUUUCAUCAACAGAAUGGGGAUAAUGGAAUCCACCUCCUGGGACUGUCACGAGAAUUAGAUGAGGGAUUCUGGAAAGAACAUGGCCCACGGUUGAGUUCUGGAGAGGCUGCUUCCUCUCUGGGCGACCUUAUUCCACCUCUCUGAACACUCCAGGGGAGGAAGCGCUGUCUCUAAGUGGGUGAGGCCUUGCCCAGACUCUCCCGCCUGACUCCGCCUGGUUUCCACGUUGCCACCCUCUCGCCACCGAAUGGCCACCCUUGGGGUUGGCCCUCUCACCCCCACUGGAGAAUCCAACUGGAGCCGCAGUCACUGACCAGGCACUUCUGAAGACAGGAGGAGCAUCGAAUGAGAAGAUGCAGCCAACAACCCGGUCCCCACGGCAACAUGUUGACACUGGUCCUCUCCACCCGAGGCCUCUUCUGGGGCUCCCCACAUCUUCAGAAGUGGUUCUACUUUUAUGCCCCAUUUGUCAGUGAGGAAGGAUUUAGGAAUCCAGAUAAAAACCCGGGUCAAUCUGACUCCAAAACCAGCACUCUGUCCACUCACGCUUUUCCGUGUCAGAAGACUGUGUGUGCUGAGCAGGGGUCUAUCCACCCCUCCAUCCCCUAAGCCCUCAGGAAAUAAACAGAGUCCAACACA